rnacentral:lncRNA from 1 species
GUUAGCCCAGUGGGGGCUGGUGGGACUUCCCAUCACUCCUGCUGAAGACAGGUCUGCUGUGCAGCAAAGAACUCAAACCCUGAUCAGAUAGAGCAAACAUGACUAUGACUUAGUGGUCGGGGUAUGUGGAUGGCUGCCAAACCUUGUUGUGCAUUUUACAUUAAAUAUUUAGCAGAUAAAAUAAAGAAAUGGUUUUCUAGAGCAGGUUGCCCCUUCUCCUGGGUAAGCAAUUUGACUGCUAAACCAUGAAAGUCAUCAUUUUUUUCCCCUGCUGCAGAUGAUCCGAGAUUUCUUUGCUUUCUGAAGUCAGAAGGAAACUGGAAAGUUGGGGGUGUCCUGACAGAGGCAACCUGCAAAAUAUUUCACUGGGGGACAGCAGAAUAGCAGGAUUGUAUCACUGCUGUCAGCGGGUUUACAGGACUCAGUCUGGCUCCAGCUUGCUGGCUGUCGAGUUAUUUUACGACGCAAGUCUACUCUAAGACAAAUGAGUGAAAUGCUCUUUUUUCUAGGCUGCCCCACCCAUGCGGAGAAUGAAGGCGAUAACGUGGCUGUUUUCCACUCCGCCUGUCUGCGUGGUUCCAUGGUGACCUCUGAGCAGACAGCGGCACAAAGACACCCCGCGGCUCGAUGCGAGAGGUGGGCACAGCCAGCAGCACAGGGCACUGUUCUACCGUGGCUCCCCACAGACCUGCCACACCAGUCCUGUAUCUUUCCUCCUUCUUGAGGAGCUCUGGAACUGGGCUUUGAGAGGACAAGUGCUCGCACCAGGGGAGGGAACGCUGCCUUCCUCCAGCCACAGCCACUGGUUGGUGAGCCCAGGGACUGCUCCUUGGGCAGGACUUCCCCGAGCAGGGAUCCACCCUUUUCUGAAGUCACACCUUACAAAGAAGUGGAGUCGUGGGGAAGGUUGUGACAAGUGGGCACAGGGCGAUCUAAAGCAGGUCAGCUGCUGAAGGCUGUUUGGUCUUCGCUUAAUGCAUGAAGCGAGCAGUUCAGCCACAGGCAAAAGGUGUUGUUAGUCUCACUUCUGCAGUUUCAGGAUCCAGGACAUUUGUUUUUCUGCAAUUUGAUAUCAACACAGAGCACUCAGAUCACAUCAAUCGAUGUAGUUAGUGCUGGUAACAUGCAGCUAAGAGAGGAAUCUUUGCAGUCCAAAGCAAAUUUAGCAAAAUAUAUAAAUGUUAGUGGGGGGGGGAAAACCUCUAAAGAGAUCACUUGUGUAAAUAUGUACAUAAAAAUUUAAGCCACUUCAAUAAAGUACACACAAAUAGUUUGCA